rnacentral:rRNA from 1 species
UACGUAGGGUGCGAGCGUUAAUCGGAAUUACUGGGCGUAAAGCGUGCGCAGGCGGUUUUGUAAGACAGGCGUGAAAUCCCCGGGCUUAACCUGGGAAUUGCGCUUGUGACUGCGAGGCUAGAGUGCGUCAGAGGGGGGUAGAAUUCCACGUGUAGCAGUGAAAUGCGUAGAGAUGUGGAGGAAUACCGAUGGCGAAGGCAGCCCCCUGGGACGUGACUGACGCUCAUGCACGAAAGCGUGGGGAGCAAACAGG